rnacentral:rRNA from 1 species
AGAGUUUGAUCAUGGCUCAGAUUGAACGCUGGCGGCAGGCCUAACACAUGCAAGUCGAACGGUAACAGGAAGCAGCUUGCUGCUUUGCUGACGAGUGGCGGACGGGUGAGUAAUGUCUGGGAAACUGCCUGAUGGAGGGGGAUAACUACUGGAAACGGUAGCUAAUACCGCAUAACGUCGCAAGACCAAAGAGGUGGACCUUCGGGCCUCUUGCCAUCGGAUGUGCCCAGAUGGGAUUAGCUAGUAGGUGGGGUAAAGGCUCACCUAGGCGACGAUCCCUAGCUGGUCUGAGAGGAUGACCAGCCACACUGGAACUGAGACACGGUCCAGACUCCUACGGGAGGCAGCAGUGGGGAAUAUUGCACAAUGGGCGCAAGCCUGAUGCAGCCAUGCCGCGUGUAUGAAGAAGGCCUUCGGGUUGUAAAGUACUUUCAGCGGGGAGGAAGGGAGUAAAGUUAAUACCUUUGCUCAUUGACGUUACCCGCAGAAGAAGCACCGGCUAACUCCGUGCCAGCAGCCGCGGUAAUACGGAGGGUGCAAGCGUUAAUCGGAAUUACUGGGCGUAAAGCGCACGCAGGCGGUUUGUUAAGUCAGAUGUGAAAUCCCCGGGCUCAACCUGGGAACUGCAUCUGAUACUGGCAAGCUUGAGUCUCGUAGAGGGGGGUAGAAUUCCAGGUGUAGCGGUGAAAUGCGUAGAGAUCUGGAGGAAUACCGGUGGCGAAGGCGGCCCCCUGGACGAAGACUGACGCUCAGGUGCGAAAGCGUGGGGAGCAAACAGGAUUAGAUACCCUGGUAGUCCACGCCGUAAACGAUGUCGACUUGGAGGUUGUGCCCUUGAGGCGUGGCUUCCGGAGCUAACGCGUUAAGUCGACCGCCUGGGGAGUACGGCCGCAAGGUUAAAACUCAAAUGAAUUGACGGGGGCCCGCACAAGCGGUGGAGCAUGUGGUUUAAUUCGAUGCAACGCGAAGAACCUUACCUGGUCUUGACAUCCACGGAAGUUUUCAGAGAUGAGAAUGUGCCUUCGGGAACCGUGAGACAGGUGCUGCAUGGCUGUCGUCAGCUCGUGUUGUGAAAUGUUGGGUUAAGUCCCGCAACGAGCGCAACCCUUAUCCUUUGUUGCCAGCGGUCCGGCCGGGAACUCAAAGGAGACUGCCAGUGAUAAACUGGAGGAAGGUGGGGAUGACGUCAAGUCAUCAUKGCCCUUACGACCAGGGCUACACACGUGCUACAAUGGCGCAUACAAAGAGAAGCGACCUCGCGAGAGCAAGCGGACCUCAUAAAGUGCGUCGUAGUCCGGAUUGGAGUCUGCAACUCGACUCCAUGAAGUCGGAAUCGCUAGUAAUCGUGGAUCAGAAUGCCACGGUGAAUACGUUCCCGGGCCUUGUACACACCGCCCGUCACACCAUGGGAGUGGGUUGCAAAAGAAGUAGGUAGCUUAACCUUCGGGAGGGCGCUUACCACUUUGUGAUUCAUGACUGGGGUGAAGUCGUAACAAGGUAACCGUAGGGGAACCUGCGGUUG